rnacentral:rRNA from 1 species
AGGGCACCACCAGGAGUGGAGCCUGCGGCUUAAUUUGACUCAACACGGGAAAACUCACCCGGCCCGGACACUGUAAGGAUUGACAGACUGAGAGCUCUUUCUUAAUUCAGUGGGUGGUGGUGCAUGGCCGUUCUUAGUUGGUGGAGCGAUUUGUCUGGUUAAUUCCGAUAACGAACGAGACUCUGGCCUAUUAAAUAGACGAGAUAUUACUCAGUAUCUCGCGCUUCUUAGAGGGACAAGCGGCGUCUAGUCGCAUGAAAAAGAGCAAUAACAGGUCUGUGAUGCCCUUAGAUGUCCGGGGCUGCACGCGCGCUACACUGAAAGAAUCAGUGGGCGUUUUACCUGGUUCGGAAGAACCGGGUAACCCAAGUAAUUUCUUUCGUGCUUGGGAUAGGGAAUUGCAAUUAUUUCCCUUAAACGAGGAAUUCCCAGUAAACGCGGGUCAUAAGCUCGUGUUGAUUACGUCCCUGCCCUUUGUACACACCGCCCGUCGCUACUACCGACUGGAUGACUUAGUGA